UACGUAGGGUGCGAGCGUUAAUCGGAAUUACUGGGCGUAAAGCGUGCGCAGGCGGUUCGACAAGUCCGAUGUGAAAGCCCCGGGCUCAACCUGGGAAUGGCAUUGGAAACUGGCGGGCUGGAGUGUGGCAGAGGGGGGUGGAAUUCCGCGUGUAGCAGUGAAAUGCGUAGAUAUCUGGAGGAACACCGGUGGCGAAGGCGGCAUCCUGGACCGGUAUUGACGCUGAGGCGCGAAAGCCAGGGGAGCAAACGGG
rnacentral:rRNA from 1 species